AGGGUAGCUGGGAGUUGGAAGAGCCAAGAACGCCUCCGAGCUCUGGAUUUGAGCUUCUCUGCCCAUGGGUGCAGCAUCCAUGCUCAGCUUGUGAGCUUCUUCCCGGGAGAGCAGCCAUGGCACUGAGGAAUGUGCCCUUUCGCUCAGAGGUCCUGGGCUGGGACCCCGACAGCCUUGCUGACUAUUUCAAGAAGCUCAACUAUAAGGACUGUGAGAAGGCAGUGAAGAAGUACCACAUCGAUGGGGCUCGCUUCUUGAACCUGACAGAAAAUGACAUCCAGAAGUUCCCCAAGCUCCGGGUGCCGAUUCUCAGUAAGUUAAGUCAAGAAAUCAACAAGAACGAAGAGAGGAGGAGCAUCUUCACACGCAAACCCCAAGUCCCGCGGUUUCCUGAAGAGACAGAAAGCCACGAAGAGGACAAUGGGGGCUGGUCGUCCUUUGAAGAAGAUGACUAUGAAAGUCCGAAUGAUGACCAGGAUGAGGAGGAUGAUGGAGACUAUGAGUCCCCCAAUGAGGAGGAAGAGGCACCUGUGGAAGAUGACGCGGAUUAUGAGCCACCACCCUCCAAUGAUGAGGAAGCUCUGCAGAACUCCAUCCUGCCUGCCAAGCCUUUCCCCAACUCCAACUCCAUGUACAUCGGUAAGGGCCCAUUUCCAGAUUUUCUGGCCCAAGCAGCCCAAAGCCAAGCUCCCCACUGCUGCACGGAAGGCUGAUGCCCCAGCUUGCCCAUGUAGCAGAAAGCUCUGGGUCUCGAUACCUGCUCGGCUUCUUAACAGCUAUGUGGCUUUGUACAAGUAACUCUACCUCUCUGGGCCUCAAUUUCCUCAUCUGUGAAAUAGGAUAAUAAAUGUACAGACC
rnacentral:sRNA from 1 species